rnacentral:rRNA from 1 species
CCUACGGGAGGCAGCAGUGGGGAAUAUUGCACAAUGGGGGGAACCCUGAUGCAGCGACGCCGCGUGAGUGAAGAAGUAUCUCGGUACGGUAAGCUCCAUUUGCAGGGAAGAAAAUGACGGUACGUGUCUAAGAAGCCCCGGCUAACUCCGUGCAAGCAGCCGCGGUAACACGUAGGGGGCAAGCGUUAUCCGGAUUUACUGGGUGUAAAGGGGGCGUAGAGGGGGGCAGAAGUCUGGAGUGAAAUCCCGGGGCUUAACCCCGGAACUGCGUUGGAAACUGUGCGGCUGGAGUGCAGGAGGGGUAAGCGGAAUGCGUGGUGUAGCGGUGAAAUGCGUAGAUAUUAGGCAGAACACCGGUUGCGAAGGCAGCUUACUGGACUGUAACUGACGUUGAGGCACGAAAGCGUGGGGAGCAAACAGGAUUAGAUACCCUAGUAGUC